rnacentral:rRNA from 1 species
UACGGGAGGCAGCAGUGGGGAAUAUUGCACAAUGGGCGAAAGCCUGAUGCAGCUAUGCCGCGUGUAUGAAGAAGGCCUUAGGGUUGUAAAGUACUUUCAUCGGGGAGGAAAAAACAAAACUAAUAAUUUUAUUUCUUGACGUUACCCGAAAAAGAAGCACCGGCUAACUCCGUGCCAGCAGCCGCGGUAAUACGGAGGGUGCUAGCGUUAAUCAGAAUUACUGGGCGUAAAGAGCACGUAGGUGGUUUUUUUAAGUCAGAUGUGAAAUCCCUGGGCUUUAACCUGGAACUGCAUUUUGAAACUGAAAUACUAGAGUAUCGUAGAGGGAGGUAGAAUUCUAGGUGUAGCGGUGAAAUGCGUAGAUAUCUGGAGGAAUACCUGUGGCGAAAGCGGCCUCCUAAACGAAUACUGACACUGAGGGUGCGAAAGCGUGGGGAGCAAACAGGGAUUAGAUACC